ensembl:lncRNA
GUGGUGUGAUGUUUGUGGGCGUGGUGAGUUUUAUAGCAGCCAGCGCCACGAGAGUUUAUCCGGUUAAGUUAUACAACAAUAUCAAGUUGUUUUCCAAGAUACCGAAUAUGAUACUCUUCGUUGUAGUAACGUGUUGGAUUGGUAAGUUUUGUUACCAAGUUACUCUCAUGGGUUAAUUUAUAGCUUACUUGUUACAUUUGAUUUGAGGAUGAGUCAGCUUUACUCGCACAGUGUAUAUAUAUAUAUUUUUAAAGGCAUUGGUUUUGGUGCUGCGGCUGCUGUUGAAGAUGAGGAUGAGACCGAGUCACGUACGGUGCCUGAAGGAGGAAACCUCACCAUCUCUGUUCACUUUGAGACAUGGGACGAAGAUCCUCAGGUUUUGGUGAGCCGUCUCAAAGGCUCCUCACAGGAACAGAUAGCUCAGUUAAUCUGUCAUAACGGAGUCUGUGAGCGCGAGUGCUGGAGACCCGGAGUCUCUCUGGUAUCUGAUGGACAGAAUGUUACUCUGAUGCUGAUGAAUGUCGGCGACCAUCAAACGGGGCUUUACAAGGUUCGCAAACACAGCAACAAGCGGCUCGAAAACAAGAUUUACAACGUUACUGUUUAUGAGCCUCCACUCAGUACUAUCAUCCCAGAAAAAAUAGCUUCUGCCACGAACGGUGAAUUUACUGCAGGAAAAAGUGCAGGUGCAGUUUUAGUGGUCCUCGCUUUAGUGGUCAUCACUGGCGCUGUCAUUUAUAGGAAACACAGAAAGGCAAAUUCUGACAAAGUGCCCCAAGAGAUAGACACUGAAGCCAGCAGGUGGCACAGAUCCUAAAGUGAUCAUGCAGGUUACUUAUAGUUACUGUAUUAUUGCAAACUCAUCCAGUGCAGGACUAAGCUAAAUGGAAUAACAAGAUGGGUCGACUAUAAGGAAUCAAAAUGUUGUUUCAUUCACUGAGGAAUGUAACCACUGGUGCUGCCACUGGGACACUGGUGCUGAUUUCCCAAGAGAUCCCAGGAGAUUCUGCUGCCUUUGAUAAGAUGAUAAUUAUGGCUCCAAGCACUGACGAUUGUCCACCAGAUAGAGCCAAAGGUUUAGAAAUCCUGUUUAACCUAAUAGUUUUGCAUCAGUACGAAUGGCUAAAUAACAGUUGUUUUUAUUUGUAGCACCACUGUACACUAACAAUACCUCCUUUGUUUCCUUUAAUUAGAAAUAGGCCAUUUUGAAAAUUCUUAUUGAUCCUUAAAUGUUAACUUUUUCCUAAUCAAACCGAAUACAUGUUUGUCAAGUUGCCAGACAUGAUUAGAUAUAUUGCAAUAUUGUUUGUCUCUUUUAGUAUAAUAUAUACAAUAACAUUUCUGUAAAAGCACAUUUCACGUAAAAAGCACACUCAUUUCUUAAUAGCAUAUAAAUUAGUAUUUAAAGUAUUCAAUCAGAUACUGUGGCACAUUCUCUUGUCAAUAACUUGUCAUAAAAAAUGACAGCGCAAGAGUCAAUCGCUUUAUUGUAGCUUUUGUGAUCUCUGAGUAGUAAGCUAAUUCUGUUUUUCUGUUUCCAUCAAACCCUAACUUAAUCUCCAGCGGAGAUUCAAGAUAGUCGUAUCUGAAAAGCACAACCCUGGAGCACAAAAGCAGUCACAAGUAGCACAGGUAUAUUUGUAGCAAUAGCCAACUGUAUGGGUCAAAAUGAUUGGUUUUUCUUUUAUGCCAAAAAUCAUUAGGAUAUUAAGUAAAGAUCAUGUUCCAUGAGGAUAUUUUGUAAAUUUCCUACCGUAUAUAUAUCAAUACUUAAUUUGAUUAGUAAUAUGCAUAUGCUAAUAUGUUAUAUAUAGUAAUAUGCUAUGAACUUGAUUUGGACAAGUUUAAAGAAAAUAUUUUGAAGAAGGUGAUUAUACUUUCUUCAUCAACUUUCUACAACUUUUUGAUGUUUUUGCACCCUCAGAUUCCAGAUUUUCAAAUAGUUAUAUCUCGGCCAAAUAUUGUCCGAUCCUAACAAACCAUACAUCAAUGGAAAGCUUAUUUAUUCAGCAGAUUAUCUAUAAAACUUCGAAAAAUGGACCCUUAUGACUGGUUUUGUGGUCCAAGGUCACAUAUAAGCUGUUGGGUUUGGACCAAGAUAAUCGUCACUUGAGGCUUUAUUUAUUAUCGUUUCUUUAUGAAUUGUGAGUGGCAUUACAAUAUUUUUGUAUUGUCUGUGCAUUCUGUUUGUAUUUAUUUUAUUUAAAAUAUAUUCAAGUCUUACUGAACACAUCUCUGUUAGACUUCUCUGUACAAAGGCAUUUACAACAGUGCAUUUCUUUAUAUUUGCAUAAUCAUACAACAAAAUGUCUUUAGAUUAAAACGGGUUAAGCAGAAUUGUCAGUUGAUUGGAUUGGAAAAUGGAAGCAGAACCAAAAAAGUUGAAAGUAAAAACUUUUUUUAUCAUCUUAAAUGCUUUUCUCUUACUUACAGUAUGUGUGUUGGCUAAAAUGAUUCUUGUAAUGUAACGACAGAAAGUAAACAUACACAGAGAAAAACAUGUGCAUCUCAUAAAAGAAGUGAUCAGAUUAUGUAUUAGUGUCCCGAAUUAUCAUUAGCUGUGAGAUGUGCUACUUACCUAAAUAAAAGUACAAUGUACAAAACAAUACAUAAUUAUAAAAGCAUUUUGUGUAUAUUGUCUAGCAACAAAAAAGUGCAGCAAUGGUAUAUACAC